CCUACGGGUGGCAGCAGUGGGGAAUAUUGCACAAUGGGGGAAACCCUGAUGCAGCGACGCCGCGUGAGUGAAGAAGUAUCUCGGUACGUAAAGCUCUAUCAGCAGGGAAGAAAAUUACGAUACCUGACUAAGAAGCCCCGGCUAACUACGUGCCAGCAGCCGCGGUAAGACGUAGGGGGCAAGCGUUAUCCGGAUUUAUGGGGUUUAGGGGGUGCGUAGGCGGGCAUUUAAGCCGGCGGUAAACUGUCGGGGCUCAACCCCGGCCUGCCGUCGGAACUGGGUGCCUUGAGUGGGCGAGAAGUAUGCGGAAUGCGUGGUGUAGCGGUGAAAUGCAGAGAUAUCACGCAGAACACCGAUUGCGAAGGCAGCAUACCGGCGCCCUACUGACGCUGAGGCACGAAAGUGCGGGUAUCGAACAGGAUUAGAUACCCUGGUAGUC
rnacentral:rRNA from 1 species